UACGAGGGGGGCAAGUGUUGUUCGGAAUCACUGGGCGUAAAGGGCGCGUAGGCGGAUGUUUAAGUCGGGUGUUUAAAACCGGGGCCCAACCCCGGAGCGGCACCCGAAACUGGGCAUCUUGAAUAGGUCAGAGGCUGGUGGAAUUGGAGGUGUAGCGGUGGAAUGCGUAGAGAUCUCCAAGAACACCUAUUGCGAAGGCAGCCAGCUGGGACCAUAUUGACGCUGAGGCUCGAAAGCAUGGGGAGCAAACAGG
rnacentral:rRNA from 1 species